AUUGAACGCUGGCGGAAUGCUUUACACAUGCAAGUCGAACGGCAGCACGGGAGCUUGCUCCUGGUGGCGAGUGGCGAACGGGUGAGUAAUACAUCGGAACGUACCCUGAAGUGGGGGGAUAACGUAGCGAAAGUUACGCUAAUACCGCAUAUUCUGUGAGCAGGAAAGAGGGGGAUCGCAAGACCUCUUGCUUUAGGAGCGGCCGAUGUCGGAUUAGCUAGUUGGUGAGGUAAAGGCUCACCAAGGCGACGAUCCGUAGCGGGUCUGAGAGGAUGAUCCGCCACACUGGGACUGAGACACGGCCCAGACUCCUACGGGAGGCAGCAGUGGGGAAUUUUGGACAAUGGGCGCAAGCCUGAUCCAGCCAUGCCGCGUGAGUGAAGAAGGCC
rnacentral:rRNA from 1 species